rnacentral:ncRNA from 1 species
UAAAAGUUUGGUCCUAGCUUUACUAUCAACUAUAAUUAGACUUACACAUGCAAGCCUCUUCAAACCAGUGAGAACCCCCAUGCAUUUUAAUGCAAGGAGCAGAUAUCAGGCACAGCACUUCAGCCAAAAACAUCUAGUCCUACCACUCCCCCAAGGGCAAACAGCAGUGAUAAACAUUGAGGCAUAAGCACAGCUUGACUCAGCCAUAAUUUAUUAGGGUUGGUCUAUUUUGUGCCAGCCGCCGCGGUUAUACAAGAAACCCAAGUUGAUAUUACACGGCGUAAAGCGUGACUAAGAUAAAUUUACAAUAUUAAGAUUAAAAAUAUACUAAACCGUCAUACGCGUAGUAAACCAGCACACUCAACAAUGAAAAUGGUCUUAAUUUCAAUAUAACCCUGACCUCACCACCGCUGAAACACAAACUGGGAUUAGAUACCCCACUAUGCUCAGCCACAAAACUUGAACACUUACUUUUUUCUUUCGCCAGAGAAUUACGAGCAACAGCUUAAAACUCAAAGGACUUGGCGGUGCCCUAAACCCACCCAGAGGAGCCUAUUCUAUAAUCGAUAAUCCACGCUAAACCUCACCACCUCUUGUUUUUCAGCCUAUAUACCACCGUCGCCAGCUAACCUCGUGAGAGCAUUAAAGUCAGCAAGAAUGACACACCCAAGCACGACAGGUCAAGGUGUAGCAUACGGGGCGGGAAGAAACGGGCUACAUUUUCUAAAAGAAUACGAAUUAUAUUAUGAAAAUCAUAUUUGAAGUCGGAUUUGGCAGUAAGAUUGGACAAUAAUGCCACUCUUAAAUUGGCCAUGGGGCGCGCACACACCGCCCGUCACCCUCGUCAUAACAGCAAUAACCCAUAAAUAAACAAUAAACAUUAUAUUAGACGAGGAAAGUCGUAACAUGGUAAGCGCACUGGAAAGUGCUCUUGGAUUUAC